UAAUAUUAAUUCCUGUAAAUUCAUUCAAUAUUGAACAAAUAUUCAAUACAAAAACAACAUUCAACAAAUACAACAUUCAACAUUCAAGAAAACUAACAUUCAACAAAAUUAACAUUCAACAAAACUAACAUUCAACAAAACUAACAUUCAACAAAAAUAACAUGGAAGACCUAUUUGGAUGGAGGAGUUUGAUAUCUUUGAUCACUCUAACCUGCAUUAAUACUUCUAUCUUGCAACGAUCCACGAUCUGAAGGUUGUGGAGUUGUAUUUGAUUGGAAUAAAACUGUUUUCUUCAGGUCUUCAAACAUAUCAAACAUUUCAUCAUAUUUUCUUUUUAAAACUCGAUUAUCCUGUAAAACAUUUAAGAUUCAUUUAUAUUUAUGUAUUACCUUAAAAUUUUAUUGACUUUCAUAUACAUACCUCUAUUAACUUCUCCA
rnacentral:lncRNA from 1 species